GAAAGCUUGCUUCUUUGCUGGCGACCGGCGCACGGGUGAGUAACACGUAUCCAACCUACCCUUUACUCGGGGAUAGCCUUUCGAAAGAAAGAUUAAUACCCGAUAGCAUAAUGAUUCCGCAUGGUUUCAUUAUUAAAGGAUUCCGGUAAAGGAUGGGGAUGCGUUCCAUUAGGUUGUUGGUGGGGUAACGGCCCACCAAGCCUUCGAUGGAUAGGGGUUCUGAGAGGAAGGUCCCCCACAUUGGAACUGAGACACGGUCCAAACUCCUACGGGAGGCAGCAUG
rnacentral:rRNA from 1 species